AUGCUCAACCUUAUUCUCCACCGCCCACCUUUUGACCUGAAACCUCAAACUCCCCCAAAUAAAUUCUUACCCGCCCACCUAACCCCCCCUCGGUCCUGUUCGGUCCUGUCCCGUAAACCUAACCUCACCUUCUCCCCCUGAACUCACCUCUUCCCCUCCCUCCGACCCACCAAACUCUCCCCCCCUCCCCCUCCUGCCCCGCCAGCUGUAACCCCGAGCUUACCUUUAAACGCGGUUAGCCCCGCCCCUCUCGACCCCUGAACACACCUCAGCUCGCCCAGUGUGGCCCCCUCUCCCGUUUGAACUCGCCCAUAACGUCCCACUGAACUUCAACACUUGUGUCUUUUCUCCCACACGUCCCACAGCAGACGGCAGAAGUAGCUCCACUUGGAAUAUCUACUUAAAUGCUGGUGUUCAUUCAUAUUGAGAGAAUUCCCCAUAAAAGGCCUUUGAUCUCAUCGUCCCGUUUUUCUCCUUCCUUGUAAACAGAAACGUCGUUGGAGGGUCAGACGCUCGUUAGACAUCCGUCGGGUUUCUCUCGAAAUCCACAUUCUCACAUUCUGAGGUUAUAACAUUCACAGCUGAGAGGCCUUAUGGAUUCGUCCAAUGCUGAAGCGCGCGCACACGCACACACACACACACACACACACACACACAGGGCAGCUCGUGUUUUCUGGUUGACCUUCGCCUCGCUCUUCUGUGCUCUCACCUCGUAAUUUAGCGCUUAUUUUCACAUUGCACGCACACAGGUAGAGAAACACAAACUCUCUGCAAACCACCGAUACAGACAUCCAGGGGGCCGGUCUCACCUCGACGGGUUAUCUCUCUCUUCUAGCCCCCCCCCCCACACACACACAGUGUGCGCUGACCCCGGAGCAGCUCAUUGAAGUCCCAAUAAAACACGGAGGAAUCGUCGGCACGCAACUUGACAUUCUAGUGGUUUGUUUGGAUAACCUCACACACACACACACACACACACACACACACACACGCACACACACACACUCGUUCUGCAGCACACAGUAUUUUACAUUUACGACUCUCCAGAUCCUGAGAGACCCCACUGCCUCGCUCGGCCUUCGGCGCUGCCCUCUGGUCCACCCCGCCACACACACACACAAACACACACACACGCGCACACAUACACACACACACUCUCUUUCCCAGCAAUUAUCUUCAAACUAAACACUGGCUCAGAAGCGGUAACAACAGAGCAGAGCUAUUGUGAGCACCGUACUUUUUUUGUCAGGUUGUUGCUACACUGACAUUUUUUAGGACUUUACGUCCACGGGAGACCAAUGAAUGGAAAGUGCUAAAUAUUCGCCUUCAAAUACACAAUAUCGAUUAAACGCAGGCAUACUUCGUUAUGACUUGACAAACGAUUCACUUACCUUCAGAAAUAUUCCUUUAUAAAACACAACUCUUAAUGGGACUCGGAGGCCUGUUCAGUCUCUGCACAACAAAUGUUAUGUUCUCAUAACUCUGGACGGACAUUUCGCUUUUUUUAAAUCAAAAUCUUGUGUUCGGCUUCUCCUUCGGAGUUUGGAAGUGGUUUGAAGUCGGGUUGUUGAAUAGAAGUCAAUGGCCGUAAAAUGUGCAGUCCUCCUCUUGAUGUAUAAAUCACACCGGUAACGAUAUUCCUAAAUGUUCCUCCUUAAUUGCUGUUUGCACAUGCACACGUGUGUGUUUGUGCUCUACUUUAGACAACUAAAGGCUGCACGCACUAUUUUGUUGGCCUGUGUGUGUGUGUCUGUGUGUGUACUCCUGUUCCCCCUGCUGUGUGUUCCAGGUCUGUACUUAUGAGUCUCUCCCUGAGAACUAAAUCUUCUAUAACUUUCACCUCAACAUGACCUUCGAUUUAAGUGUGUGAGUGUGUAAACGGCGUAAUCAUUACCUCACCCUGACCUGUGUGUGUGUGUGUGUGUGUGUGUGUGCGCGCUUUUUAUGUCACCUAAUCCUGACCUCGACCUCUUGACAACACUCUCUUUCACGAUAUAAAACACUGUAAUGGUGGCGUUUUUCACUUCAAAAGGCGCACACUGAGGUUUCGGGGGAAACACAUCAGUCAUUUUACGCGUUCAGGUUAUGAGAACGCAGACACCAAAAUCAUCCGCGUGCACCUCGUACAUCAUCCCGUGCACUUCAACGUGGACCAGGGCCCCUCUAAAGUCUGUCAUUUGAAGGCACCAGGAGUUUCAGGACCUCAGAUCGUGUAACGCUGAUACUUUUGGGUCAAUAAAUAUGUCGCAUAGAUUUGUAUCUGUCUUAUAGAUUUAAGGGGAGCAAAUUCAGCAGUGGUUCUGCCACAAGCGCCAAUUAAGGGGGUUGUGGUCGAUGUCAGAAGCCUGUGUAACGUCAGCACACGAGUCCAAAGGUGGGAUUCUUAUUUAGGAUCAGCUUCCACUAAAUGGCACCAUGAGAUGAGAAGGUCAGGUGAGUGGGUCGCAGGGGGGUGAGGGAGUGACCCACCCACUCGCGUUGGGGGAAUGAGUGGGUAACCGGGCGGCUAGAUGGGUGGGUAUGAGUGCAGUUGGGUAGUUGGGUAUGUGCGCGGUUGGGUAAGUGGGUGGGAUGUGAGUAGAAGAAGGUACAUAUUAUUUUAUUUCUAGGUCACUAUUUCCUAAUGUUUAACUGCUGUAUUUAGACAGAAAAUGUAACAAAGUAUAACCAGAAGUGAGACCCAACAACAGUUUCCACACAAAGGCAGUUCUUUAAAUAUGUAUUUUUGUGUUAUGAUGAAACACACUCUUCUUUUUGGAGGCCAACUCCUUUCAGCUCCGCAUAACGUGGCGAAUCCUCAUUUGUGGUUUCAUGCAGACAACGCGGCUGCCAUCGCAGAAUAAAGCCUUGACAUGAUAACGCUUCCAGCUAAAACACAGCGAAACCACGGACAUCUGUGAGGAGAGUCGCCCGUCAGUCCCUGAGAACACGUGCAGCGGCGCGCACAAAGGAGAGGACUUCACCUUCGGCCUCCCACCGCGUGAGGAAACGUCCCGCUCGCCCUCGACCGGCGCCGUGGUUAGUGUUACUGUCUCCUCUGCCGGAGUUCAGCGGCGGACGGUCCGACCGCAGACGAUUCGCAGACGCGUUCACCGCCACCUUCCCCCCCGACUGUCCUCGCCUCCUUGUUCCGCUGCUGGAAAGCACGAGGUGCCCGUUUAAGCCCCCCAAAAUCCUCUCGGCCCGGCGGGUCUUUUGCUUCUGGAAUGCGCAGCACUGAGAAUGUAUUUGAAGCGGGACGAAUUUCCCUCGAGCGGUGAAAAAGAUGUGUUUGAAGGUCGGGUUGGAGGUCGGGUUGGAGGACGGGUUGGAGGUCGGGUACGAGGACGGGUCGGAGGACGGGUCGGAGGACAAGUUGGGGGUCGGGUUGGAGGUCGGGUUGGAGGACGGGUUGGAGGACGGGUUGGAGGACGGGUUGGAGGACGCGUGGAGUCGGUUCGGGCGUCGCUCGUCGAGGCCUCGCUGCCAGAUCUUACGGCAGGAUUAUGACGUCUCGUAAAUACUUCGACACAAAGCGGCCACGCAAUGAAAUACGCGGGCCGCCGUGUGCGAUCCAGCACGCCGUCCUCCCUGAAGGUCCAUUUCAUAUUCAUAAAUAAUGACGAAAAGUCCGACGCAAGAGAAAAUAACGUUGUCCUCGUACAGGGCCUUUAUUUCAAUAAUCCACACAUUCCGACAGGCUUCCCCUCCCGAACCACCUCUGUAAGCGUUUUAUCAUCACCACCACAUCUGGGGUGGGCAUUCGUCAAGGACAGAAACAUUGCGUCUUUACCUAAACAAGUACAACAAUUUAUAGCUUUCUAACUUUUAAAAUAGCACGCCGUGAAAGUUUUUACUGCUACUGACGUUGUAGUGAGGUUUGGACACACUCUGAUCUCAUCAAACAUGACUUCAGGGACGUUAAAUCAGCCCGUUUUAUCUCCGAGAGGAAGCCUUGACGUUUUUUACAAUGGGGAUUUACAGCUAACAAUAACUUCCUGCUGGGGACUCAAAGACUACAAAUAGAUGCAACAUUCAUAAAACGUUAUUUCUAUUGACAUUCUCAGGCAAUUAGAAGGGAUUGUAAUGAGCAACAUUUACAUGUGUGGAGGAAAAAGGCCUUUAAUGUUUAAUGGGUUUCAUCUUGAGCACAUAUAGUAUAUCAUGUGUUCAUACGUUUGGAUAAUUAACUGAUACCUAAUACAUGUUGAUGCAUAUUGCAAUGACUUUAUUUAAGAUGCUUUGUACUUUAUUUGGGAUAUUUUACUAAAUUUCUUUGGAUAUUUUAGUGAAUUUGCACAGAAUGUCACCAAAUAGCUUUUUACUGUCUUUUACUGUUUUCUUUUAGUGUAGGGUCUUACUAACAAUUUCCAGAUAUUUUUUGGGGGGCUACAUUUUCAGAGUGAUUGAAUUAGUUCCAACGAUGUCGUAAAAGUGAAUCCCGUAUAAACGUCAACCCCGCGCCGCCGUAACUGAUGUAGUGCCCCUGUGUUUAAAGACGGAGGCUCAGCCAAUCGGCUGCCUGCUUCAGAAUCACGGCCAACGUGGCGUCCAGCUGAAAUUAAAAAGAGCCGAGCCGCGGCCGCUCGCUCACUUCAACGGUUGUUGUUCCUCAAGCGGCAAAAAACAACAAACAAAAAAAAAGCAUCAUUCAUGGUUUUCAGAGGCAUCUCCGGCAAAUCCGGCCCACCUGUGUUUCCUUGACACGAGAGCUGUGUGUGUGUUUGUGUGUAAAUGCGUGUGUGUGUGCGUGAUUGGUUAUUAUGUUAUUUUGUCAACAGAACAGUUUUUAACAAGCACGUGGGCAUGAGCACCAAAUAGGUGAAUACAAAAAACAAAAAAAAGGAAUUACACUAUAAACACCAGCAGGAACGAGUGGGUCAGGGUUUAUGUGUGUGUGUGUGUGUUCCUGUGCGUGUUUGUGUGUGCUCUAUAAAGCGAUAGCGGAAUGUGCUCUCACUCUUUAAUGAGGUUCAUCAAAAACAGUCAGGCGUCAAGAAAUGAGCCUCUUCACACGCAACGAGGGACGGGGGGGACGGGGGGGAGGGCUCUAUCUCACACAUGGGAAGUAACGAACGGUCAAUAAACAGACCGCCGCGUUGGUCAGUUUAAAAACCUCAUUACACCAGCAAGGAAGAUCAGGUUUUUGGGGCCUUUUCUUGGCUCCAAAAGCAGACAUGCAGCACGAAUACAGGCGUCAAAUAGAAGGUGUGUGCAGCAUCCUCACGUCGGAUAGAGUCACGUGACCCGGUGGUGGGAAAGAGUAAUGCAGCCUCAAAGAAAAGACGCUUUGAAAAUGUGCAUUUCCAACGCGUUGGCACCGCCCGCGGAGGCCCCCGGUGAUACAAAACCAAGCGGGUGCGAAUGUUUUUGCCCAGAACGAAACCGGGAGGAACGCGCAGGGAGCCAGUGGAGGGAGAAAGUGACAAUAUGAGAGAUUUAAGGCGAGUUGGGACAAGAAAAAGAGGCUGAUUUACUGGAACAAAAAGAAGCGAUCAAGGAGAAAGAAGACGCAGUGAAGAUUUGUGAUUGAGCUUUUCUCUCCAAAUCUGAAAAAGUUCUCCGUCUUGGUUCCCCAUGAUGACGCUAAAUCUCAAAGCCCACAUUGUACCGCCUGCAUGCGGUUGUGUGUGUGUGUGUGUGUGUGUGUAUAUAAAUCAACAGCAUGUUUUCUUUCACUCUGCUCCAGUGGAAUAUUUUUUUAAUGAGUUGUUUUAUUCCCGACUCCCGACCGUCACAUGAACGCUGACGCACCGUCGGAGACAAGCGUAUGAAACGGGGGGACGGAGGACUUAUAGAGGCCGAGGGACACACACACACACACACACACACACAGAUCAACUCCUGCUUUGAUCGGCCGUAUACUUGUGUUUUAUUUUAUAAAAGUUCUCUUCUCUGUUGCACGGAUCCAAAAUGCAACAAACACACACACACACACACACAAAAUGUGCUGGCAGGGGAAAAAUGUUUGAUGUCGAAAUACAGUUUGUAAUCUGCACCAAACAUUCUCGGAAAGGACGUUUUGUACAUGUGUCUGAACAUAUACACGAGAAGAGAAAAACAACCGAAGGCGCGCCAAAACAUCCAGGUCUUCACAACAGCUUCAGAGAUACUUCACAGGUUGUGACCUCAUUCGCCUUCCUAUCAGCCCUCUUAUCUAUGUGUGUGUGUGUGUGGUGUCGUGUCAGAUAGGAUGUCUGAUCUUUUAUCGCUCUGGCUGCAGAAUCACCUGCCAGAUGAACCGGCGGGUUCAGCCUGCGAGAGCUUCGGGGCCUCGACAUCCCCGGGACGGCCGGAGGCCGCGGCGAGACAACACGAGGAUGCAGAUUAAACGUCAGCGCGAACCGCUUACGAAAAACAGUCCGGAGCGUUUGUGCGGUCCUGCUCCUGAAAUAUUUUGCCGUUAUUUCUUCUCUCAGUUUGGCGCAUUGAGGCAACGAAACUCUCUUGAACGCCGGCGGCGCUGAAUGUCAAACGUCACAGGAGAGAUUGUCUCGUUUUGUAAAGCAGAAAUGAAGAAUUCUGGGGAAUUUUAUCUCGCAAUAAUCUCUGGAAAACAAAUUUCAUUUCAAACUACAAAACUACAACAACAAUCAGACACUUCUCUGCCCCAAAGUAGCUAAAUAAAUUCACCUUUUCACCAUUUGAAUGAAUACUGGAGCCAGUGGGAAACCACAACUUCCCAGAGUCAGCCAACGAGGUCCAACAUUAAAACCUGUGAGCUUUUAGAGGGCUGCUCGGCCUAUUCUGUACAGUCGUUUUCUUCAUUUUCCCCUCUGAAUGCUAAGCUACGCUAAUGGUCUUGUGGCCCUCGCUUCGUACAGACUCGAGAGUGGCAUCAAUCUUCUCAUUAGCUCUUGGCAUGAAAGCGGACAACGUGCGUUUCCCAUGUUGAACAAUGGCUUUGACAAAAUAAAUAAAGGGUCACAUUCCGCGGAUCAAACGAUGCCUCGCUGCAGCGACGAGCUGAUUGGAUUUGCCACGAGGUCUUUUUCAGGUUGUCAAGGCACCGCAAGCAUCUUUGAGUUUGGCACCCGGGUGGAUUUACCAGAAGUUACACAGUCAUCAUGUCUGCAGAUCCACCGAGGAAACCAAACGCCUGUCGGGACCUCACCACUUCUUUGUGUCCCUCCCUGAUUCAAUCAGCUUUGUUGGAUGCAGAUUUCUCGGACUGAUACAAGUGGGCGCAAUAUUUACUUUUCUUACACAGUAAACAUCUUUCUAUUUAGUCUACCAGGUCGCUGAUGUGUUUGAGCCAAACUUUGUUAGUGUGAGGUUGGUCCUGGCUGGAGGUUUAUUUUAGGGCAACAUUUGUGUGUUUUUUCGGAUGUGGAUCAGAUCACUUUGAGGCUCUUUGACGGUAACUUUGUGUUUUGACUCGCGUCUGUGUUCACGGUCUGGUAAUUUUGUGUUUUGUAUGUUCUGCCCACAGACUGUAUAUAAGGAGGGGACAUCGGUUGGUCUUUGACGCAUCUAGUUUGACAUUGGGGUUUAGUCUUGUUUGAGCCAGAAGUUACCAUAUUUGGACAAGGUUGAGUCCAACGAGGCCCGGGAGGGCCAGAUCCUGUUAGCAGCUAAUGCUAUCGCUAGCUGGGUUAUCAAAAAGUAUCUGUAAAUUCACAUUAGCUAAACUUAGCAAUUCAAAUCUAAGUUAAGAAAAAACAGGCUUGUUUGAAGUGUGGUGUUAGAGAGUUAGAGAGCUGUCAAUCACAGUGCUUCAUGGUCUAUUAUACCCUAAUAAUUUACUAAGUGAACAUCAUGCUGCCUUGAAGACUUGGAACUAGAGAUUGAGACCAUAACCUCAUAUUUACAAUGCUUACCCAGGGAAUAAAUCAAGAGAAAAGUAGAGUCAUUUUCCCAUAGACUUCUAUGGUAAGAGAGGAGUCGCCCCUGGUGGUCACUUGAGAGAAUGCAGCUUUGAGACCCUUCAGCCCUGGCUUCACUCUUCAGACCCAGACAUGAAGCGUACGACUGAUCAGCCUCACUGUGACCUUUUGUCUUUGCUUGUUCAGACGACACAGACUCCCCCAGGAGAACAGUGGUGACUCCAAACUGUCCAGUGGGUUUUGUUCCUCUUAUUCUAUUCUUUCGCCUCCACAUUAAUCCCAUAAAUAUAUCCCAUCUCUUCAUAACUGCACAUAAAUCACUCUCCAUUUCUCCACUCUAUCGUUCUUACACAGCACCCUCCACGUGAACUCUCCGCUGGCAGGGGAUCCACUCAGGUGCCUCUCCAUGUGUGUGUGUGUGUGUGUGCGCAAAAGAAGCAUGUGUCUCGAGUGUGUUUAUGUGCUACAAUAGAGUCCUGUUUGUUUGCAGGGGGAAUCUGUGUGUGUGUGUGUGUGUGUAUGUGAGAGAGAGUCAGGUGUCGAGUUUACCCCCAGAUCGACCCAACCUGGGAAUGAUCUAGUCUCAGAGGGGGAAGCCAAAACUUCUCCACCAUGUAUGUGUGUGUGUGUGUGUGCGUCUAACCCAGAGAUGACUCACAAACCAUCUGGAGGCCAGAUGCAGGUUAGAAAACUACUCUCUCUCUACUCUGUCCCCUCCCUCCCUCCAGUUGCCAUUAGUUCCCUUAGUUAACCUGUGAACUUUGACCUGUGUGCUGUGCAUGUGUGUGAGUUCAUCCUGUGUGUGUCUGUGUGUGUCUUGUCCUGGUGUCCUGGUUAAGUCAACGACGGGGUUGUGACCUUUCUCAGCGGUUGCAAACUCUCCCUCGGUGACCCCCGGAGUUCAAGUUCACUAAUUGUCCCUCAUCCCAGUUAAACAGCCUCCAUCUUUCUCCCCCUUUGGCGGCUCCGCCUCCCUGUCACCUGGUACGUAGAUUAAGUCUGGGAAACAAGACAUUACUAAAAGGUCUUACAGGCCGGUCUCUGAGUUGUUUUCUAUUUAGUUCCAAUUGGCGUUUGUUAAAAAUGAGAUGUUUAAUUUGCCAGAAGAAAGACUCAGGACGUCCAAAAACAAGGAUUCAGAUAUCCGAAAUGAAUGCCAGGGAGUCCUCCCAGUACCUCCGGUUCACAUCUUACACGGCAUUAUGGGAGCAGCGGUUCCCCUGCGGAUGUACUCUGGGUAGUUAAAUCGAAAAGAAUGUGUCCCAUCGGUCCCCGGAGAGCAGAUGAUGACUCCGCAGACCUCAUGAGGACAACGUCUUACGCUUAACCGCAUAAGAACAAAGACGAUCCACCACAGCCCAUUCUUCUGGAGAUAAAACGGGCGUUUAUGUGCUGUCAUACGUUUCAAUACCGUCAAGACUUGAAAGUAAAUCAUCAAAAUAAUUGUGUGUGUGUUCGACUGACACCAGUAAACCAGUAAGAUGUAUCAUCAAUGUAACAAGACAACAGGAAUUCUGUCUAAUGCUCAGCCAAAUGUUCUAAAUUCGUCCCCUGAGAGGUCGAGUCUGUGCGCGGGCGGGACAACAUUGUUUUGAACACCAUCUUCGAAGUGUGAGCAUGUGGUGGACGCGUGAGGUUUGACAGGAGAUGACUGUAUCUCAGGUCCUGAUUGGACCUAAAGCUUUGGUUUUGGUAGGAGGGUGUUGAGGGGUUGCUGAAGGUCCGUUUUUAUAAGCUGUCGAGGCUCAAUCUGUGCAGGUGUGAGAAUGAAAGAAAGAGGCCAAACAAGGACUAGAUGGCAAACCGCCCUUCACUCCCACAGCAUUCCCAAAUUGGCCUCUAUAAACCCUUUGUUUUGGACACUUCCCUUCCUCAGCGCUCCACUGGAUGCUUUUAUUCUGAAGGGCCAUCAGAGGGGAAGCUAAACAGCUGGAUUGUGGAGUAGAAACAACCCCCCAAAAAGGGCCACAAACUACAUUCAGAUUCCAGCUGAGAUGAUCCCAGUUAGCUGCUGGUGGGAGGAGCUUUGCCUCUCCGCCACUGACCACGAGCCUAUCGGGUGGGAAACGAGACACAGGUUGGAUACCAGCUGAGAGAUCAGCAUAUCCAGAUGUUUUGGUAGAACAACAACCCCCAACAAUUAUUUUCCCUAGUUAUCUGAUGAACAUCUUUACUUUUACAACAUACAUUUGUCUCCUCAAAGUUUAGUGUUAUACUAAAUCACAUUAUCUGUUGUUCAAAUGUGAUUUCAUUAUAGUUUAUUAUACCACUGAAGAAUUUUAAUUUAAACCUGCUGACACACUAAAGAGGUUGUUGUAUUCCACUUGAAGUCUAGUUUUGAGGCUUUAAGCUGCAACUCAAACAGCAAAACAGUCUUUGAGAUAGAGUCCAAAUGUUUAAAGUCUAAAUCAAGUCUCUAGUCUUUGAUAAAGAGUCCAACUCAAAUGUCAAGCGUAAAGAGACAUCCCAUCAUAUGGAGGAGUGAAGGGAUUUCUUUACAAUAUCAAUAUCCAGGUUAAAUAUCCAUGGUCCUAACUGAGCAGCUGUCUUGUCAGAGGCCUCACUGGAGAACUGAUUUGGACAACAAGAGCGAAAUGUUGCAGGCGGACGUCGGCGCAAUCACAAAAAACUGCAGCACAACGUGGCCAAGAUGUCAAGAUGUCCGCCUCCAGCCACGAUGGUCCCGACCAAUCGUACGACUGUUCCUCAAUGCCGGGAUCCUCUCUCUCUCUCUCUCGCUCUCUCUCUCUCUCUGACAUUUCCAUGAACCAACUCUUGAUGUUCCUCAGAAGAACAGAGGAGAGGACGAGAGGACGGUUGAAAGACAGGGUUUGGGAAAAAGAAACAAUAGAAAUGUGCCGGGCAGAUGUCCCCCCCCCCACCCCCCUUCCCUUCUUUCCCAAUACUCCUGUUGAAACUGGGGUAAUAUCUCCGGUGUGUGCUGACACGUUUUGGGCAGUGACCAUUCAGGGGGAUUUUAACAGACAGAAACCCGAGUGGGCGCCCGCUACCGUGGGGGGGUGGAAAGACGACAGCAUGGAGUCCCGCCGGGAGAAGGACGUGUGACAGGAACCACCUUGUGAACUCAGCCUAAUUUGGGCAUUUUGUAGAACAUUUACUGCACACACGCAACAAAGAAAGGCCUCAGGAUGGAAAGGAGUUGUGUCAGAGCGUCCUGUAGGAACAAAGGAGAGUCGGGAAACAGACUGUAACUAUACGGCCGCCUGAAUGAAACACAUUCACUGAUGAUGUGUCCGAGUCAAGUUGGUGGUUUUUCCUCAGACCAAAAGUCAAAAGCUGCACGGAUCAAAUUCACAGUUAUCUAACAAAAGGGAACUUAACUGUAUUUACAGUGCGACAGUAAUGCAGCUGAAAUAACACCGGCUGGUGUCCAUCUUUUCCUUUGUGCUCUUCAGAUAGGAUUCUCCUCAUCAUGAAGGUCACACUUUGCACAACGCAGGCCUCACGCUCUUUGGCAGAAGCUCCCUGACCACCACGAAGGGGGAAAUACCAUUUCUGCUCAAAUGAAACACGAGUCCGGGCCAAGCGGCCGUCUUACUCUUUAAAAUCUCACUCCGGCUCGGUGGGGCCGAGCAGCGGAGCGACAUGAGAUUCUCAGAGAAUCGGUUCCGUUUCCCUGCGUUGGCUUCGGCUAACGAUGUUACCAAAGAAAACGUUUUGGACUUCCUGUACGGGAUCUAAUUUGGAAUAGAAAUGUAUUUUUUGUGUAUAUUCACCUGAUUUAAGGGCCUCUUUACGCAAUGCCAAGCCAGAACUCUCCUGGAUCUAGCUCCCUGUACUUCCCUAAAGUUCGCCAGCAUUUUCAGGACUUUGAACCACUUGCUCCUCAUUGUAUUACUCCAGUGUGUGAAUGAAGGACUCCGUCAUUUGUGAUAGACGCUCAGAAACAACAUAUUGAGAAAGAAAAGUUGAGCCAAACCUUUUGAUUUCCUGUUGUUGGGUACUUUCACGCUGAAAAUAUAUCAAAACGGUCUCAAAGCAGAAGCAAACGAACAUGUAGUUUCCUCCCGCUGCAUUGUGCGUCAACGUCCUACUACACUCUACGCUGUCAGAUCUGAUCCUUAAGGGACCAAAACUCCUGCCUCCCCAUUAGAAGGCGGUUUCCGCGCAAACACUGGUCCCUAAAACUUACCCGCUCUGGUUUCUGGGAUGUGCCAACGAAAUGAAAUUCUCCCUGAAACCCAAACAUUCAGUCCGCCGACUACAAAUGUGUCAAGGACGUGUUUGUUUGCAGAAAAUGUGUAAUUACACAGUUUCACAGUCCGUUUACUGUGGGACUCGAACACCUCUUCCGCCACCGAGCUCAAGAACUUUACUUCGCUCACUUUUACUUUCACGUAGGUGUUUAGAGAGGGAGCGAAUUAGAGGGAAUUAUGAAGAGGAGAAAGAAAUGGAAGACAGACAUGCAUUAGCACAUUGUUACUGCAGUGGCCAGUCAGUCUGGGAACCCGUAAUAACCCUUCAACACUAAUGACAAAACCACACACAUGCACGCGCGCACACAGUCUCGAGGUCUCUCCUCCGCCUAUGUAUCUCGUCUCUCUGUAGUCACUUCUACGUCCUCCCUCCUUCUCUAUGGCGCACACACACACACACACACACACACAAAUACAUGAGCGGUGUUGCUGUGUUGAUGGUAAUACCAGGGUUAUUGGGAGGGGAGAGAGUAAUUCCCUCUGACAGCCCCAUUAAGGGAUGAAAUACCACCACUACUAAAAAACGACUUGGGUUUCACUUGUGACGCCGCACCAGCCUACAUUCGAUUUUUCUGGGUUAUUUUGAGGGCAAUCUGGAGCGGCAAAAUGGCAUGAAAAACUAAAAUAAAAAUGAAUACGUCGGUGUUUGUCGCGUUCGGGACGCCCAAGUGUUCGCCCGCCAAUUCCUUUUGCCCGCGUAUUUCUCCGUCAGCAGGAAAUCUAUAUGGCACUGGUUGUUUUCACUCUGGCUCAAGAGUUGCUUAUAAAUCACGGAUGAAGAGUGGACCACCGGCUCCGACUCAAAAACACGGUGGACCGGAGAGUAAAUCAGGGUCAGGUGGGCUUCAAUAAGCAGCCUUAACAAUCGCCAUCCAUCAACCGGAUUUCUUUAUGAAAAUAAAAAGAGAAAUCUGAGAUGUUCCAGCUUAUAGGCUCGUCACUUUUGUUUUACACCACAAAUUAACCCAAAGUGUCUUUAUACAGGCCAGAUUUUUAAUAGUACAUGAUUGGACCUCGACCAUGUUGCUGACAUCUGUGUUAACAGAAUUUACCACUGUGGAUGUGGUGUGUGUAAACACUGCUAACCCACCAAUGACUCCAAACCAACAUAAGCAUUACCUAAAGGGAGAACAUUAGUUGGGUAUUUACAAGCAGAGGCAGAGGAACAUUGGCAUUUGCUUGAAGCUGUGUUCAAAGCUACUUGAUGAAUUUUAGUGGAACGCUCACUUUCCUUUUAGCUCUGGUUCGGUCUCCUCCAACGGAAAA
ensembl:lncRNA